rnacentral:lncRNA from 1 species
CAGUUUUUCUUAAAACUGUUUAAUGAAGUUCAUCAAAAGGUCACAUAAACUUGAAAAGGAAUACUUAGUAUAAAAUUUCAAUUGUCAGAACAAAAUGGCUGUAAUAUGCAUAGAAAUGAAUUACACUAAUAACUGACACAAAAUCUCAAAGGUUCUUAGUAUAACAAUUUUCUGGGAUUACUUUUCCCAAUGAUUUAGAAAUUGGGUUGAAUUUCUAAACUGUGAUUUGUAAAUUGUGUUGAACACUGGAGAUCUACAAGGAUGAUUCAGCAGGUUCUUCUACAUCAGGUGAGCACAAGACUCUGA